rnacentral:rRNA from 1 species
UACGUAGGGUGCAGGCGUUAAUCGGAAUUACUGGGCGUAAAGCGUGCGCAGGCGGUUUCUUAAGUCAGAUGUGAAAGCCCCGGGCUUAACCUGGGAACUGCGUUUGAAACUGGGAGACUUGAGUGUGGCAGAGGGGGGUGGAAUUCCGACGUGUAGCAGUGAAAUGCGUAGAUAUGUGGAGGAACACCGAUGGCGAAGGCAGCCCCCCUGGGUUAACACUGACGCUCAUGCACGAAAGCGUGGGGAGCAAACAGG